rnacentral:tRNA from 1 species
UUUAAUUGAAGCCAAAAAUAGAGGCAAUUCAUUGUUAAUGAAUAAAUUGAGGUUAACUCCAAUUAAAA